rnacentral:misc_RNA from 1 species
UCCGGUUUGGCACCGGCAGUCUCCCUAGAGUUCCCGGCAUCACCCGCUGGCAACUAAGGACAGGGGUUGCGCUCGUUGCGCCACUUAAGGCAACACCUCACGGCACGAGCUGACGACAGCCAUGCACCACCUGUGCAGGCUCCGAAGAGCACCCGCUUUCACGGGUUUCACCCUGCAUGUCAAGCCCAGGUAAGGUGGGGAUGACGUUGAACGGUUGGUU